rnacentral:rRNA from 1 species
UACAGAGGUCUCAAGCGUUGUUCGGAUUCAUUGGGCGUAAAGGGUGCGUAGGCGGCGCGGUAAGUCGGGUGUGAAAUCUUGGAGCUUAACUCCGAAACUGCAUUCGACACUGCCGUGCUUGAGGACUGGAGAGGAGACUGGAAUUUACGGUGUAGCGGUGAAAUGCGUAGAUAUCGUAAGGAAGACCAGUGGCGAAGGCGGGUCUCUGGACAGUUCCUGACGCUGAGGCACGAAGGCCAGGGGAGCAAACGGG